UUGGAGGGCAAGYCUGGUGCCAGCAGCCGCGGUAAUUCCAGCUCCAAUAGUGUAUAUUAAAGUUGUUGCAGUUAAAAAGCUCGUAGUUGAAUUUCGGGAUUGACACAUUGGUCGUGCCCUAAGGGGUAUGAACUGGUGUAGUCAAUUUCUCACCUUCUGGAGAACCGCGCUGUCCUUAAUUGGGUGACGCGGGGAACCAGGACCUUUACUUUGAAAAAAUUAGAGUGUUUAAAGCAGGCAUUUUGCUUGAAUACAUUAGCGUGGAAUAAUAAAAUAGGACGGCAUGAUUCUAUUUUGUUGGUUUUUAGGAUCACUGUAAUGAUUAAUAGGGAUAGUUGGGGGCAUUAGUAUUCAAUUGUCAGAGGUGAAAUUCUUGGAUUUAUUGAAGACUAACUACUGCGAAAGCAUUUGCCAAGGAUGUUUUCAUUAAUCAAGAACGAAAGUUAGGGGAUCGAAGACGAUCAGAUACCGUCGUAGUCUUAACCAUAAACUAUGCCGACUAGGAAUCAGACGAUGUUAAUUUUUUAAUGACUCGUUUGGCACCUUACGGGAAACCAAAGUGUUUGGGUUC
rnacentral:rRNA from 1 species